rnacentral:rRNA from 1 species
CUACGGGUUGCUCCAGUGGGGAAUAUUGGACAAUGGGCGCAAGCCUGAUCCAGCAAUACCGCGUGUGUGAAGAAGGCCUGCGGGUUGUAAAGCACUUUCAAUUGUGAAGAAAAGCGAGGGCUUAAUACGCUCUUGUCUUGACGUUAACUUUAGAAGAAGCACCGGCUAAGUCUGUGCCAGCAGCCGCGGUAAUACAGAGGGUGCGAGCGUUAAUCGGAAUUACUGGGCGUAAAGCGUACGUAGGCGGUUUAGUAAGUCAGAUGUGAAAGCCCUGGGCUCAACCUGGGAACUGCAUUUGAAACUGCUAGACUAGAGUGUGGUAGAGGGAAGUGGAAUUCCGGGUGUAGCGGUGAAAUGCGUAGAUAUCCGGAGGAACACCAGUGGCGAAGGCGACUUCCUGGACCAACACUGACGCUGAGGUACGAAAGCGUGGGUAGCAAACAGGAUUAGAUACCCUGGUAGUC